rnacentral:misc_RNA from 1 species
GCACAUAUUCUCCUCACGGAGCACAUGAAUUAGAACAAUCUCUUAAUUACGACUCAAGAGCUCCUUUAUUUUAUUCAAGACAUGGUUAACAUUCAGAGGGACAUAAGCAUCAAGAGAAUUAUCAUUUACCAUCUUUACCAACUCCAUGCUAUCACUCUCAAACAAAAUUCUGCGAUGUCCUUCAUUCCACGCAAGAGAUAACCCAGCAACCAAGGCUGAAGCUUCAGCUCUUAAAACAAAACACACCCCUGUUUUAAAGCAAAAUCUGAACACUCCUAAUCAAACCUCCCCCUAACACCCAACCAUUAACACCCUUCACACCCCCGUCCACAUUUAAGUUAUGUCAGCCCUUUUGUGGCAUAUUCCAACAGACUUUUGUAACUGCAGGCCUAAUUUCUAACCCAAGAGCAGCAGGAUCACAAGCAUUGAUUUCCCAGCCUUCCUUAGAGAAUCUCUUCAACUAUUUCAGGAAUAGAUAAGAUCUUAUUAUUAAAAAUGACAUUAUUUCUAUUCAUCAACAAAAACCAGCUAGCCAUCCCAAACACUACAAUCCAAGGAACAUGAUCAUUAUCUCUAGCAACCUUCAAAUUAUAAAUCAACCAAUCUUGUAUUGUUUGAGCAUUCUGCUCAAAGCACCUUCUACUCAAAACAUUAAUCAAACAAUUCCACACCUGCCUCACCUACAAACAAUCUUGAAGGGCAUGCAAAAUGGAUUCCUCCUUUUCACCACAUAUAUGACACGAAGAAUCACCAUUAAUAUGACGUCUCACUCUAGUAGCAUUAGUAAGCAAACCAUUAUUCGCAACAAGCCACAAGAACGAUUUAACUCUUUGCAUACCUGGCCAUUUCCAUAUCAUUGACCUCAAUUUUGAACCUUCUCCCUCCUUAUCUUUCUGAAGAAAAGAAUAGGCACUAUUUGCAGUAAAAUUUCUAGAAGAAGAUUUGCCCAAAAAAAAUCAUCUUCCUCUUGAUUCAUGGAAGGAGUUGGCAAUUCAAUAAGCAAAUCAAUAACUUCCUGCGGUAACAAAUUCCUCAAUUUAUUUAAAUCCCACCCUCCAUCAGAAGCCACAUAGCAAGCCACACAAUCAUCAACUAUCUCCCUUCCUACUGGCAUCCAAGCAUAGUUAAUCAAAGCUCCAUAACCUGGUAACCACACAUCCUUCCAAAAUCGCAUAGUACAUCCAUUCCCUAAGGACCAAAUCAAUCCUUCUCGAAAAAAAUCUCAGAUGUUACACAAACUUUCUAUAACGUCGAACAUCUUCCUUUCCUCAAUUCUAUAGAAACCACCUUUCAUCCCAUUUUAUAUUUACUGCGAAUUACCUGAACCCAGGGAGCAUCCAUUUUCCGUACCAUACCCCAACACAACUUUAACCCAGAAGCAUCAUUCAUCUCACGCAUACGCUGAAUUCCCAAACCCCCACACUCUUUAUCCUGAAUAAUUUUUAACCAAGGCAACAGAGACAUUUUCUAUCUUCCUGAGAACUUCCUCAAAUAAAACUUUUGCACUUCUUUUCAAUAGAAUCACACAUUUCAAUAGGCAAGGACAUAGAGAUAAUUUUUUCACAUAUCAGCCUACUAACUUUUGUUGAGCUCUCUCCAACAUAUACGCAUAAGUACUCCAUCGAAUCCUUGAGUGCAACAAAGGCACCCCUAAAUAUUUUCCCAAAUCGUCACAAUCCUUAAAUCCCAGAUGCUCACUCAAUAACUUCUUUUGCUGAACAUUGACAUUUUCAGAGAAAUACACUCUAGUCUUAGCUUGACUAACCUUCUGAACUGAGCAUUCACAAAACAUAUCUAAAAUUUCUUUGACAACAUCAACUUGAUUAAUAGAAGCCUCAGCAAA